rfam:Hordeum vulgare subsp. vulgare, WGS project CAJW01000000 data, contig: morex_contig_105427
GCCGGGAAGAGGAAGAAAGAGAGAGUUCAAGAGCAAUAGGAAUGGGAACAUGGAGGAAAGACCUCCUUGUUUGUUUGCACCACUACUUUUGGAGGUGCAAAUAUUCGGCAUGAAUCCUUUCCUGAUGCCUCCCAUUCCUACUAUUCUUGUGCACUCCUUCCUCUUCCUUUUGGCU